rnacentral:rRNA from 1 species
AGGAAUAUUGGUCAAUGGGCGAGAGCCUGAACCAGCCAAGUAGCGUGCAGGAUGACGGCCCUAUGGGUUGUAAACUGCUUUUAUAAGGGAAUAAAGUUAGUCUCGUGAGACUUUUUGCAUGUACCUUAUGAAUAAGGACCGGCUAAUUCCGUGCCAGCAGCCGCGGUAAUACGGAAGGUCCGGGCGUUAUCCGGAUUUAUUGGGUUUAAAGGGAGCGUAGGCCGGAGAUUAAGCGUGUUGUGAAAUGUAGACGCUCAACGUCUGCACUGCAGCGCGAACUGGUUUCCUUGAGUACGCACAAAGUGGGCGGAAUUCGUGGUGUAGCGGUGAAAUGCUUAGAUAUGACGAAGAACUCCGAUUGCGAAGGCAGCUUACGGGAGCACAACUGACGCUGAAGCUCGAAGGUGCGGGUAUCAAACAGGAUUAGAUACCCUGGUAGUCCGCACAGUAAACGAUGGAUGCCCGUUGUUAGUUCACUUAUGAAUUAGCGACCAAGCGAAAGCAUUAAGCAUCCCACCUGGGGAGUACGCCGGCAACGGUGAAACUCAAAGGAAUUGACGGGGGCCCGCACAAGCGGAGGAACAUGUGGUUUAAUUCGAUGAUACGCGAGGAACCUUACCCGGGCUUGAAUUGCAGACGAACGAUUCAGAGAUGAAGAGGCCCUUCGGGGCGUCUGUGAAGGUGCUGCAUGGUUGUCGUCAGCUCGUGCCGUGAGGUGUCGGCUUAAGUGCCAUAACGAGCGCAACCCCUUUUUUCAGUUGCCAUCAGGUGAUGCUGGGCACUCUGGAGAUACUGCCACCGUAAGGUGUGAGGAAGGUGGGGAUGACGUCAAAUCAGCACGGCCCUUACGUCCGGGGCUACACACGUGUUACAAUGGCAGGUACAGAGAGACGGUCCCUUGCAAAAGGGAUCAAAUCCUCAAAGCCUGUCUCAGUUCGGACUGGGGUCUGCAACCCGACCCCACGAAGCUGGAUUCGCUAGUAAUCGCGCAUCAGCCAUGGCGCGGUGAAUACGUUCCCG